rnacentral:rRNA from 1 species
UCCAGCAAUGCCGCGUGAGUGAUGAAGGCCUUCGGGUUGUAAAGCUCUUUUACCCGGGAUGAUAAUGACAGUACCGGGAGAAUAAGGUCCGGCUAACUCCGUGCCAGCAGCCGCGGUAAUACGGAGGGAGCUAGCGUUAUUCGGAAUUACUGGGCGUAAAGCGCACGUAAGCGGCUUUGUAAGUUAGAGGUGAAAGCCUGGAGCUCAACUCCAGAAUUGCCUUUAAGACUGCAUCGCUUGAAUCCAGGAGAGGUGAGUGGAAUUCCGAGUGUAGAGGUGAAAUUCAUUUAUCUUCGGAAGAACACCAGUGGCGAAGGCGGCUCACUGGACUGGUAUUGACGCUGAGUUGCGAAAGCGUGGGGAGCAAACAGGAUUAAAUACCCUGGUAGUCCACGCCGUAAACGAUGAUGACUAGCUGUCGGGGCUCAUAGAGCUUCGGUGGCGCAGCUAACGCAUUAAGUUAUCCGCCUGGGGAGUACGGCCGCAAGGUUAAAACUCAAAUGAAUUGACGGGGGCCUGCACAAGCGGUGGAGCAUGUGGUUUAAUUCGAAGCAACGCGCAGAACCUUACCAGCGUUUGACAUGUCCGGACGAUUUCCAGAGAUGGAUCUCUUCCCUUCGGG